rnacentral:tRNA from 1 species
GCAGUGAUGGUUCAGUGGUAGAAUCCUUGCCUUCCAUGCCAGAGACCUGGGUUUAAUUUAUGGUCAAUGUA